rnacentral:rRNA from 1 species
AUGCGUGUUAAUGGGAAGGCAACCAAUGCACUAGAAAUCAAUGUUCUAGCUGUGAGUGAGCUGUUUGCAAGCCCAAGGGUAAUUGAAUAUGGCAAGUACUUUGUCACUGUCAGGGAGCUCGCAAACUCAAUGAAGAAGGGGGGUUUUGUCGUGAGCCAUGUAAUGGAAGUUGGUAUAGAGAGUAUAAUGAUGAACUUGCCACCAAACUCAAAGAAGCUUGUGAUGCCCGUCGGGUUCUCGGUUCAGAUGCAAAACAUGGAAUUGAACGGCAAUGAGCUCAUUUCCCGGUUCAAGAAGUCGAAUCGCUUGGACCGUAAAGACAUGAUUAUGUUCCCAGUUUUAGAGAACAUUGACAAGACAAAGCCUAAAACAGGCAAUCAUUACUGGAUUUUUAACAUGAACAUAAGGGAUCGAUGUUUCGAAGCUCUUGAUUCUUGGAGGAUGCUAAAAAACAAGUCUUUAGAUGUUUGCGCAAGGAAAAUGGUUGCAAGUUUUCGGUCUCUAUGGGAAGAGCAUUACGCCAGUUCCCGUGUCUCGCUGGAUGACUUUGGGCUUACCAACAUCGAUGUUCCAAAACAGAACAAUGAGUAA